rnacentral:lncRNA from 1 species
AACAAUUCAAGUGGAAGCAAACGUUGGGAGAAGUACUCAUUUCACCUGGGAUUGUUGAUUAGGCUGCUUCAAGGGAAAUCCUAUUCUUGAAGGUGGCUUUGACCAUCUGGAGGAGGAAAUGAUAGAUAUCCUUACCACAUCUUCGUGCAUGGCCUGCCCGGAUACAACUGCGUGGGUACUGCGAUGGAGCACAAACAAACGCGACCGCUAAAGUCGUGUAGGGUGUUUCCCUUUCAUGUCUGAAUUUGUUUAGACAGUUACACAAUCAGAGAGCGCGGAAUGAGAGAAAACAAAACCCAGGAGAAAGGAAUGCUUUGAAUCUAGGUCCCUGGGCCUUGAUACUUUUUCUUUGUUAAAUCAACCCAAGGCCCCUCCAUAUGCUGAUCAUCUUUUGCCAAUGUCUGUGUCUGAACAGGUUUUCCCAGGCAUAUAGCUCAGAAAGAACCUUUCAUCCUCCUUUUCCUGUUAUGUGUAUAAUGUGGUGUAGCCCAAAGCCACUGUGGGUUCUAAUUUGCAUGUCUAUUUCAAGAAGCCCGGAAACUAUUUGCAUAAGACUCUUGCUUCCUGAGAGAUCCCAGCAGAAGGAUGUAGAGAUAGAGUCUUUCAUUUUUUCAUUUAGUUCUAGAUAUCCAUAGUGAGAGAUCUGUGUGUCUAAACCCUAAAAUCUGUAGAAUGUGCAUGAAAAAAUCUACCACCCUAAGCGUAAGGAGAGCUAGUACAGAUGAGGAUGUCGUGGCAGAAAUUAGUACAAAAAACAUUACAACAUUUUGUAAUUUUUCUAACUUCAAGUAUUUUUUGGAGGUUUGUUGUAGAACUAUGGAAACUUGAAACAUAAAGCAAGACUAUUUAAAGGUUCAAUCUCGUCUUGUAAGAAAGAGAAACAGGUAGAGAGACAGAAAGGGGAUAUAUACUUCAUGGUCAGAGAGCUGCAGGGGCGGUUGUUAGCUGUGCAGAUGAGCAGAAGAGAGGAUAGCAGCAGCUCAACAGUGGCACCUUCAGUAGUUCUAGAGAGAAGGGAUGGCAACAGCAGUAGACCAGGCUAGUACCAGCCAAAGCAACAGAUACGUACAAUCCAGACUAGUCCUGGGCGGAAUAGGGUAGACAGGGCAGGGCCCAGUGGAGACAGCCAUGGCCAGGUUUCCCAUAGAGUUAGAGUGAGAUAAAGUGGUAACAGCAACAGGGCAGAGAGAGACUGGGCAGGAACUGCAAAGAUGGCAGCUGGAGCAGAAUGAUGUGCAUCAGGUGAGAGGAAAAGCACAAGGCCAGAGGAUCAACUGUGCAGGGUCCAUGGUGAUGGAGCACAGCAGUGGGCAGAAGUGCGGGCUGGGACCUACCCCCGUAAAGGAGACACUGGAAACCAUCGUCCAAAGAGACAAAGACACCAAUGACUAACAGAAUUUAUUGAGCUUACAAAAUCGCAGAUAAAAAGAAAAAGAAAAAAAAAAAAAGACUGGCCAAAAUGCUAAAACUCCCUCCUCUUAUGGGAUAACAAAACAGGCUACAAUUGGUUGGAAUCAAUAUGACCAACCAGAGCCUGUACAGAACCAGCCUGUGAUGUCACAGUCUGAACUACCACCACACGUUUCGUACUAACGCCCCCUGAAUUUGCACAUGCGACCCAUGAGGAGGCAUGAAGAGAUAACUGCUCAUGCCAAGACCUUUCUAGGUUUCCCCUUUCCUUCCACCGAUCACCCACUAAUCCCAGAAUCCACCCCGUAAACCUCUUCUAAUAAAACUACUCCCUUGAAGCCAGCAGAGGGAGACAGAUCUGAGCUGGACUCCUGUCUCCCUGGGAACAAUAAAAGCUUUGCUUUUCUCACAAACCUGGUGUCAUAGUCUUGGCACACUGGGCAGUGACCCUUUGGCUCCAUGACAAACAUGAUGGUCUAGGGACCCUGCUUCUCUCCUGUUCAGUCUCAGGUGACCCAAGGACUAGACCAUGCAUCCUCUUCCUUCUUACCUAUCUUCAUAUCCUCAUGAGAGAAGGGAGGGUUAUCAGCCUCUGAGGAUGCAGAUGUUGCGCUCAGCCCCAGGAUCCCCAGGAGACUGGCAAAGAAGAUCAUAGCUUUGACUGUUCAGGGUGGCCUUGGACACAAGUUGUACCCUUAAGGAAUACCCUUCUCUGACCAGUAUGGUGGUUCAUGCCUAUAAUCACAGCACUUUGGGAGGCCAGGGAGGGA